GACAGAGGGUGCAAACGUUGUUCGGAAUUACUGGGCGUAAAGCGAGUGUAGGCGGUGUGGUAAGUCGGAUGUGAAGGCCCCGGGCUCAACCCGGGAAGUGCACUCGAUACUGCCACGCUAGAGUAUCGGAGAGGUUGGUGGAAUUCUCGGUGUAGAGGUGAAAUUCGUAGAUAUCGAGAGGAACACCGGUGGCGAAGGCGGCCAACUGGACGAAUACUGACGCUGAGACUCGAAAGCGUGGGGAGCAAACAGG
rnacentral:rRNA from 1 species